rnacentral:rRNA from 1 species
UACGGAGGGUGCAAGCGUUAUCCGGAUUUACUGGGUUUAAAGGGUGUGUAGGCGGGCUUUUAAGUCAAUGGUGAAAUCUCCGGGCUCAACCUGGAAACUGCCAUUGAUACUAUUAGUCUUGAAUUUUGUUGAGGUAGGCGGAAUAAGUCAUGUAGCGGUGAAAUGCAUAGAUAUGACUUAGAACACCAAUUGCGAAGGCAGCUUGCUAAACAAAUAUUGACGCUGAGGCACGAAAGCGUGGGGAUCAAACAGG